CGCACCUUGCGCCUUUUGGUAUUCCGAAAGGCAUGCCUGUUUGAGUGUCAUGAAAUCUCAACCCCUCCAGGUUUCUGACCUGGUGGUGGCUUGGAAAUGGACGUGUGCCAGUAAUGGCUCGUCUUAAAGUGAUUAGUGGGAUCUCGACAUCCACGGCAGACGUAAUAAGUUUCGUCUAGCCUCUUGUCGUAGGCCUGCUCACAACCCGCCAUCGCGCACUUUAUGACUCUGACCUCAAAUCAGGUAGGGCUACCCGCUGAACUUAA
rnacentral:misc_RNA from 1 species